GUACCUUCAAGCUUUGCUUGGUGUUGGGUGUUUGUCCUCUCCUUGGUGUUUGGACUCGCCUUAAAAUAAUUGGCAGCCAGUGUUUUGGUAUUGAAGCGCAGCACAAGUCGCGAUUUAAUCCAGCUACAUUUGCGUCCAUGAGCCUUUUUUUCAC
rnacentral:misc_RNA from 1 species